UGUCCAUUUGUUUCCUCAUGUGAUGUGUUCCUGUGUUUCAGUUUGAGUACGCUCUGAGACACCUGUACGCUCUGGUGAACCUGUGCGAGAGAGGAUACCCUGCAGACAGCAUCCUGCUCGCCAUGGACUCUGUGUGUCAUUUCAGCAAGCAAAGGGGUUUCUAAAAAAUCCUUUUUAAACGGCUUCUUCUCCUUCAUGUGGGAGAACCAGAGGAGACGAGCUUCUCUUUGCACUGCUUUACAAAUCAACACUUCUUAUUCUGUUUUUACCUUGUGAUGUAUUUUUGAUUUUGCUGAGAACUUUCAAACCUGUUUUAUGAUGAGUUCACUGAUCACCGUGAACAAUAUUGUGGAUAUUUUACCCUUUUUAGGACAUCAGAUAGACAAUUAUAACAUGUUCAUUUGCUCUUAUCUUUGUAUGUGGUAUGGACGGCCUGAAAUGAAUGGAUGAUUGGCAUGUGGAGGACGUCUCGCUGAACACUGAAUGUUUGCUGAACCUCAAGAGACUGCUGUAAACACUAGGAUCUUGAAAUAAAAUCUAAAAACUGCAAAAAAGUCA